UACGGAGGGUGCAAGCGUUGUCCGGAAUCACUGGGCGUAAAGGGCGCGUAGGCGGCUCAUGAAGGCUGUGGUGAAAGUCCGGGGCUCAACCUCGGAUCGGCCGUGGCGACUCGUGGGCUGGAGCACUGUAGAGGCGGGUGGAAUUCCGGGUGUAGCGGUGGAAUGCGUAGAGAUCCGGAAGAACACCAGUGGCGAAGGCGGCCCGCUGGGCAGUGGCUGACGCUGAGGCGCGACAGCGUGGGGAGCAAGAG
rnacentral:rRNA from 1 species